CUUCUGUUUCGCGGUUUCAUCACGGAUCGGAUCCGAGCCUUGUUCAACUUAAGAUUUAAUUGGAUGGGAACGUUCGCGACGAUGAUUUUACGUUUCGAUGACCGAUUCGCAGAUCUUACGGAUCUUGAGGAGAAGAUUAAUUUCGAGAUAUCUUGCUGUUUUAAUUGUCAGGGCUGUGGUAGCGAUUCUUACCUAGUAAUACAAGACCGGAGGAAGCGUAACGAUAUUUUGAUCCACCGCACAAGAAGACGAUCUUAAAACGAGACGAACGGGAAGAUUCCAGCGAACUACGGACGGACGAUGUGGAUCGCGGGAUCGCUAUCGCGGCGAGGAAUCGAUUCCCAGCGGAUUAGAAAGCACCAACCGAGUGGAACGCCGCGAAGACGGAUGCAGCAGCAAGCACCCGUGUGUCAUUUGAAGCGGAUCGAGUAUCUCGUUAAUGGUGGCCUUCUGGAGAAAAAUCCGGCAUCUGGCACGUCGAUAUCAUGCAAUCUCGCGGAGGAAACGGGAAUCAACGGGCGAGCAAUUUUUCAAUUUGCAGCGGCAAUUUUGACGGCGGAGAACCAACGUUUCAUUCGAUCAGUUUUAUCGGGGACAGAAAUAUUUCAAUUUGCCUCGGGCAUCGAACCUAAUUCGAACGAUCGAUACUUAAGGCUAGUUAGAAGGAAACACUGCGUUGUGUACGGUUCUUUUUUCAAUUCUCCGACGGCGAGAUCGAGUCGAGCGGACUCUGCGGGAAUUAUAUCGACUCUCGGUCUCCUCGAGGAAGAGUCAUUUCGUAUCUAUGUAAGAAGAAGUGCUAUGGAUAUUAUUGUUUUU